GAUGAACGCUGGCGGCGUGCCUAAUACAUGCCAGUCGAGCGAACAGACGAGGAGCUUGCUCCUCUGAUGUUAGCGGCGGACGGGUGAGUAACACGUGGAUAACCUACCUAUAAGACUGGGAUAACUUCGGGAAACCGGAGCUAAUACCGGAUAACAUGUUGAACCGCAUGGUUCAACAGUGAAAGACGGUCUUGCUGUCACUUAUAGAUGGAUCCGCGCCGCAUUAGCUAGUUGGUAAGGUAACGGCUUACCAAGGCAACGAUGCGUAGCCGACCUGAGAGGGUGAUCGGCCACACUGGAACUGAGACACGGCCCAGACUCCUACGGGAGGCAGCAGUAGGGAAUCUUCCGCAAUGGGCGAAAGCCUGACGGAGCAACGCCGCGUGAGUGAAGAAGGUCUUCGGAUCGUAAAACUCUGUUAUUAGGGAAGAACAAAUGUGUAAGUAACUAUGCACGUCUUGACGGUACCUAAUCAGAAAGCCACGGCUAACUACGU
rnacentral:rRNA from 1 species